UAAUCAUUUGUCUUUUAAAUGGAGACCUGUAUGAACGGCAUCACGAGGGUUCGACUGUCUCCCCUCCCCCAUCAGUGAAAUUGAUCUCCCCGUGCAGAAGCGGGCAUAAGAGCAUAAGACGAGAAGACCCUAUGGAGCUUUAGACAAGAGGCCACCCAUGUAGAGACGCUUUAAAACCCGAAGGGGCUCUAAGAGCUAAAAACUAACUGUAACCUGGUCCGAGUGUCUUCGGUUGGGGCGACCCUGGGGGAAAAACUAGCCCCCAAGAGGAACAGGGGCAACCCCUGAGCUAAGAGGAACACCUCUAAGAAACAGAAAAUCUGACCACAAAUGACCCAGGGCGCAACCCUGAUCAACGAACCAAGUUACCCUAGGGAUAACAGCGCAAUCCCCUCCCAGAGCCCA
rnacentral:rRNA from 1 species